GGAGCCUCCCAAGGCUAUUUAUUACUUACUCUUUUGGUUCUCCGGUCCAUUUGACAACACUUGGACCCAAUCAACUGACUUCUGGCCUGUCAGCUCCCUGUAAUUACAUGAUCUUGAGGUGACGUACGACACCUCGUUAACCGCAAUCAAUGUCUGGGAGGCUGCAAAUUUUCACAUGCCAAAAACGUAAGAUUCUUAAGGAGUUGUGCGAGAUGACGAUACAUAGAGGCCGCAGAAUUAUGAGGACUACCAGAUCCUCAUGGUGGAACCUAAGCGAUCCAUGAUAUCACGACAGGCCCUACAGUGAACAAUGAACAUUAUACUUUCUACACCAGCAAUACACAAUAUCCAACUCAAAAAUUACACGUCAGUGUUGAAGGGUUGGGCGAGGUCAAUCAUGAGGCAAAAUGGUGUUCGUGCAUAGCCAGGCCUUGAGGGCCGAAAGGUAAGAAGGUAUAUUUGUGUUCUCAGCUCAAGUGAGUGCGCUCCUUCUUAAAUUUUAUUUAAUUUUCGUUAUUUUUUAUAAUUUGUAUUGAUACUGAGGUCGUUCUCCAUAGUUUAAUUGUUUUAUCAACAAACAUUUCUGGCCACAGUUCAUAGAGCAAUACUGUUCAUGUUUUAGAUUAUGUUAACAAUUUCUUAACCGGUGUAUCCAUAAUCUGUAUCAUCAUAUCGAUACCACCUUUCUUUCAUGCUCAUGAAAUCAAUAUAACGAUCGCAAUACAGAUAUCAAGGCGCUAUGAUGAUGAUGAUGAAGAUUGUGGUAGUAUUUCUACUCGUGGCUGGAUUUCAUGCUCAAUCACCACUGGCACUACCACCAUGUGUUGAUGCCGGCAUUCCAGGAAUUUGUAAAAUUAUGGUGGACAUUUAUAAUGGAGACUGCCUAGGAACAUACGAAGAAGAUAUGGUAAAGAAUUGCCGUAAAAGUUGCCGUCUUUGCGAUGUAGAGUAAUAGCUAAGGGUGCUCAGUCUAAUGAUGCCGUGAUCACGUGAUACUUGCUCUAACUUGCAGUAGCGCGCGACCGCAGUACGCGUAGACACAUGGCUAUGUGAUCUCGUGAUACCUGAUGGUGGACGGUACAAGGAUCACGUGAUAUAGAGACAAUAAUUAUAGAGACCUUUAUUAGAUAGAGACAAUUAUUCAUUGUUAUCUUAAUCAAUGGGCACAAUAAGUUGAUUUCUGUAAUCAUAGCGUACAAUCUUAAAAUGUGUUUAAAACGAUUCCGUAUUAUUACACUAUACUAUUCUUCUAAACUGUAACAAUUUUCCUGUAUUUGAUGCUUUUAGCAUUUGCAUUUA